UGUUGGAGAAUCUCCUCUGAAGCUGUUUC
rnacentral:piRNA from 2 species